GACGAACGCUGGCGGCGUGCCUAAUACAUGCAAGUUGAGCGCUGAAGGUUGGUACUUGUACCGACUGGAUGAGCAGCGAACGGGUGAGUAGCGCGUGGGGAAUCUGCCUUUGAGCGGGGGACAACAUUUGGAAACGAAUGCUAAUACCGCAUAAAAACUUUAAACACAAGUUUUAAGUUUGAAAGAUGCAAUUGCAUCACUCAAAGAUGAUCCCGCGUUGUAUUAGCUAGUUGGUGAGGUAAAGGCUCACCAAGGCGAUGAUACAUAGCCGACCUGAGAGGGUGAUCGGCCACAUUGGGACUGAGACACGGCCCAAACUCCUACGGGAGGCAGCAGUAGGGAAUCUUCGGCAAUGGACGAAAGUCUGACCGAGCAACGCCGCGUGAGUGAAGAAGGUUUUCGGAUCGUAAAACUCUGUUGGUAGAGAAGAACGUUGGUGAGAGUGGAAAGCUCAUCAAGUGACGGUAACUACCCAGAAAGGGACGGCUAACUACGUG
rnacentral:rRNA from 1 species